AUACAAGGUGGCAUAUCCUUCCCCUUCGGGGGAUUGCCAUCUCUUCAUUGAGGACAUUGAUCAUUUGUGGGUCCUGGCAGUGAAAAUGCCCUUUCAAGUCCAUCAUCCAUUGUUGUUAAGAAGUGAGUUCUUUGUUUACCCUGCAUCCACAUCUCUUAUUAAAUACAUGGCAUCCUCAGCUGUCACAGACCUCCCUCAGCGCUGCCUUCUGUCUGCCUCAUGGCUGCUUGCUGUCACUGUAGGAACACCAUGAUUUGCUUGACUUGUUCCUCAUUGAUUUCAUCCAUGUAAGUUUAAUUUCAACCUUAAAAUGUUUCGUGCACUGUUCUGCUUAAAAAAAACAUACCUAGUGUAUAUUUUAGAAAAGUCAUCAAAUAAUUCUGAGCAGAAUUGUCUUUUCUAGUUUUGUAGACAUUUGAUCCUUUCAGAAAAAGGCCAUAUCGAGUGGAAGCUGAUGUAUUUUACGCUUCAGAAGUAUUACCCGACCAAAGAGCAGUACGGAGACACUUUGCACUUCUGCCGACAUUGCAGCAUUCUCUUCUGGAAGGACUACCACCUUGCUUGGUUGUUGAAGGACUCGGGACACCCCUGCACGGCGGC
rnacentral:lncRNA from 1 species